UACGUAGGUGGCAAGCGUUGUCCGGAUUUAUUGGGUUUAAAGGGUGCGUAGGCGGUCUUUUAAGUCAGUGCUGAAAUACUCCAGCUUAACUGGAGGGGUGGCAUUGAUACUGGAAGACUUGAGUGUAGUUGAAGUAGGCGGAAUUGACGGUGUAGCGGUGAAAUGCUUAGAUAUCGUCAAGAACACCGAUAGUGAAGACAGCUUACUAAGCUACAACUGACGCUGAGGCACGAAAGUGUGGGGAUCAAACAGG
rnacentral:rRNA from 1 species